GACGAACCGUCCAAACGUUAUUCGGAAUCACUGGGCUUAAAGGGCGCGUAGGCGGCGCGGGCAGUCAACGGUGAAAGCUUGGGGCUCAACCCCGAGUCGGCCGUCGAUACUCCCGGGCUGGAGCACUGUAGAGGCAGGUGGAAUUCCGGGUGUAGCGGUGGAAUGCGUAGAGAUCCGGAAGAACACCGGUGGCGAAGGCGGCCUGCUGGGCAGUAGCUGACGCUGAUGCGCGACAGCGUGGGGAGCAAACAGG
rnacentral:rRNA from 1 species